rnacentral:piRNA from 1 species
CUAUGUUGAAAUGUCUUGUCUUUCUGUAG